AAAUGCCGUUAGGAGAAAGACACUCUUUGUUGCCAAUCUUUCUCACCACAAUAACGAAUUGCAGAUUUCAAAUAUUUCCAAAAUCUUCAAAGAUGUUGUACAAGUUGUUCGUGUUCGACUUAUUGUAGACCACUGUGGUGAGCAUGUGAACUGUGGGUUUGUUGAGUUUGCUUCUUCUAAUGAAGCACAGAAGGCGCUACGACACCGGAAAAGAAGAUGUAAGCUUAUUUUCUACGAGGCUGAAAUAGCUGCUACGUACCCUUUCCGACACAAGUACAACCUUGCACAAAAGCUUUGGUACGAGGACAAGCUUCGACGAGAAUAUUUGAAGACCGCCCCGAAUCUGAAGAUCGCCUUCACUGACGAGUGAUAGAAAACGAUGAAGGGCUCUUUGGUGUUUUUACCUACAGUGGCAACUUAGUUUAUAACUUUUUAUUAUCAGUAAAAUAAGUGUA